UCUAAUCUUGGCUGGGCCUCAGAAAUCCCUGUCAGCUGAGGAUGAAGGAGUUCUCCCAUAGGACCCUGGCAAUGGACACUCUGUCCUGUGUUAGGAAUCCUUGAGGAUCCUGAAGUAGGCGUUGCUCUUGAUCCAGUUGUAAGAUCGGGAUAUUAACAAUUUGAAGGAACUCUUAGCUGGGUUCCAGAUUGGUUUCUACAUUGAAUUAAAAGAAGGGGGACAACCUCAGAGCUUCUGCCAGGGCAAGCAGCCAGUUACAAAAUUUGAGAAUUCAUUAUUUAGCAGUGGAGAACAAGCUCAGUUACUAAACUCUUUAAAGAAACAAUGCUGACAUUUGAGUAACAAAAAAAGCAAGCAUGUAAAUAAAAUAUUUCAAUGGACCCGUUCAAGAAAGCUUUCCAGUGAAAUUUCAAGAGAAGAGGGAAGAAAAAGUCCAGAUAAAAAUGGUAAAACUAAGCACUGUGUAAGAAAAGAAGGUUGGUCAGAGAAAGAAAAACUGAUCAUGGAGAAGGAAGCUAAUGAUUCUCUGGAGGAAACAACAGGAAAAAGAACCCAGAAUAAUGCACACGACAUCCAAUACUCAGAAAUCUACGCGCACACUGCGAGGCAUUAAAAAAAGGGAAUGUAUAU